rnacentral:rRNA from 1 species
GAUGAACGCUGGCGGCGUGCCUAAUACAUGCAAGUCGAGCGAACGGACGAGAAGCUUGCUUCUCUGAUGUUAGCGGCGGACGGGUGAGUAACACGUGGAUAACCUACCUAUAAGACUGGGAUAACUUCGGGAAACCGGAGCUAAUACCGGAUAAUAUUGUGAACCGCAUGGUUCAAAAGUGAAAGACGGUCUUGCUGUCACUUAUAGAUGUAUCCGCGCUGCAUUAGCUAGUUGGUAAGGUAACGGCUUACCAAGGCAACGAUGCAUAGCCGACCUGAGAGGGUGAUCGGCCACACUGGAACUGAGACACGGUCCAGACUCCUACGGGAGGCAGCAGUAGGGAAUCUUCCGCAAUGGGCGAAAGCCUGACGGAGCAACGCCGCGUGAGUGAUGAAGGUCUUCGGAUCGUAAAACUCUGUUAUUAGGGAAGAACAUAUGUGUAAGUAACUGUGCACAUCUUGACGGUACCUAAUCAGAAAGCCACGGCUAACUACGUG